CUGAGUUUCUGUUGCUAGAUACUCUGUGCUCGUCUUGUAUGUUCUCAACCCUGGAAGCAGCCAUUUCUCCAAGGAGCCCUUGUUCCCUUUAGUGGAGGGUGGUCUGGAUCUUGGUUAGAAGCCAAGAUCAAGAUUCUGGGUGUGCUCACAGCUCUAGGUUGUUAGCAGACAGAGCUGGAAAGUGUGUAUGUGAAUACAAGUGCACAGUUGUGGGUGCGUCUGUGUAUGUGCGAAUACAUGCGUCUUUGUAUAUGAUAAAAACCGUGAGUGCAGCCAGGUGCGGUGGCUCAUGCCUGUAAUCCCAACACUUUGGGAGGCCAAG
rnacentral:lncRNA from 1 species